rnacentral:rRNA from 1 species
AGAGUUUGAUCCUGGCUCAGGAUGAACGCUAGCGGCAGGCCUAAUACAUGCAAGUCGUGGGGCAGCACAGGUAGCAAUACUGGGUGGCGACCGGCAAACGGGUGCGGAACACGUACGCAACCUUCCUUUAAGCGGGGGAUAGCCCAGGGAAACUUGGAUUAAUACCCCAUAGGAUCGUAAGAUGGCAUCAUCAAGCGAUUAAAGCUCCGGCACUUAAAGAUGGGCGUGCGGCUGAUUAGGUAGUUGGCGGGGUAACGGCCCACCAAGCCGACGAUCAGUAACUGGUGUGAGAGCACGACCAGUCACACGGGCACUGAGACACGGGCCCGACUCCUACGGGAGGCAGCAGUAAGGAAUAUUGGUCAAUGGACGCAAGUCUGAACCAGCCAUGCCGCGUGGAGGAUGAAGGCCCUCUGGGUUGUAAACUUCUUUUAUCAGGGAAGAACUCUAUCUUUUCUAAGG